rnacentral:rRNA from 1 species
CGGACGGGUGAGUAACACGUGGAUAACCUACCUAUAAGACUGGGAUAACUUCGGGAAACCGGAGCUAAUACCGGAUAAUAUUUUGAACCGCAUGGUUCAAAAGUGAAAGACGGUCUUGCUGUCACUUAUAGAUGGAUCCGCGCUGCAUUAGCUAGUUGGUAAGGUAACGGCUUACCAAGGCAACGAUGCAUAGCCGACCUGAGAGGGUGAUCGGCCACACUGGAACUGAGACACGGUCCAGACUCCUACGGGAGGCAGCAGUAGGGAAUCUUCCGCAAUGGGCGAAAGCCUGACGGAGCAACGCCGCGUGAGUGAUGAAGGUCUUCGGAUCGUAAAACUCUGUUAUUAGGGAAGAACAUAUGUGUAAGUAACUGUGCACAUCUUGACGGUACCUAAUCAGAAAGCCACGGCUAACUACGUGCCAGCAGCCGCGGUAAUACGUAGGUGGCAAGCGUUAUCCGGAAUUAUUGGGCGUAAAGCGCGCGUAGGCGGUUUUUUAAGUCUGAUGUGAAAGCCCACGGCUCAACCGUGGAGGGUCAUUGGAAACUGGAAAACUUGAGUGCAGAAGAGGAAAGUGGAAUUCCAUGUGUAGCGGUGAAAUGCGCAGAGAUAUGGAGGAACACCAGUGGCGAAGGCGACUUUCUGGUCUGUAACUGACGCUGAUGUGCGAAAGCGUGGGGAUCAAACAGGAUUAGAUACCCUGGUAGUCCACGCCGUAAACGAUGAGUGCUAAGUGUUAGGGGGUUUCCGCCCCUUAGUGCUGCAGCUAACGCAUUAAGCACUCCGCCUGGGGAGUACGAC